UGGUGGCAUCAAAGUAUAUUGAUUUUUUCGGCCUUUUCUUACAGGCAAAUGCUUCAGACGUCAACAAAGUAACCCCGGGAGGCACCCCAGCCACCGGAAAAUAAAGAGCAGCCUGGGGACCUUGCGUGCGAUUUGGCAUAGUACCCGGCAUUAUCUUCUCGCAUAGGAGUCAAAUUGGUGGAAGCUGGGAAGGGAAACAGAUCUGAGUUCUUCAAGGGAGAAGCGUAACGUCCCGGAGGUCAUCUCUUUGCGAUGCUCGGUAAGAAAGGUUUCUCAAAUUUCGUAGUUUAUUUUCCCCUGUUCGAGCUGAGGUGAAUUACGUGAUGGGGGAAGCUUUCAAAGGAGGGAUGGAUAUGGAAUAUUUUGAGAUAGAUGAAGCAGAAGGUCUAAAUGAUGCAGGUGGAGUGGGAGAACAUUUUGUUGUUAGUUUGAAUUGCGCCGAGGAUGACGUAAUUGAUCGGCAUGAAGGAGUUUCAGAUUUGCUUAUAGAUAACUUCGCUGUUUUUCGUUGGGAAUGGGUGGCAUUGGGAAUUUUAUGGUUAGGAAUAGGUGGCAUGGGUACUAUAUCAGAAAUUAUUAUCUUUUAUUAUGAUUUCAGAAGUUGGGCUAGCUCGAGAAGAAAAGGAUUAAGAAAAGAUGUAGCUUGGAAGCUGUUGGUUAUAGGUGUACGGUGGAAAGUUGGAAAGAAAUCAUAUUCAGAGCGGUUAUGAAGAAUUUAUUAGAAGAAUCAAUAUUUUUCAGCUAUGAUUGGCUACAUCUGCUUCUUGCACGAUGAUUGAUAAUCUGUUGUAUUAUCCAUGCUUAGUUGAUUUCAAUUGCUCAAUGAAUAAAAUAAAAUUUUUGAUUAUGAUUCUAAAAGUUGGGCUUGUAUGAGAAGAAAAAGAUAAAGAAAAGAUAUAGCUUGGAACCUGUUGGUUAUAGGUGUAUGGUGGAAAGCUGGAAAGAAAAUGUAUUCAAAGCAGUUACAUCUUUCAUGGAAGAGUUGAUUAGAGAAAUCAAUAUCCUUCGACUAGGAUUCGCUGCAUCUGCUUCUAGCAAGAUGAUUGAUAAUCUGUUGUACUUGAUAAAUGUAUAUAUGCCUAGUUGAUUUCACUUGCUCAAUCAAUAAAAUAAAAAGGAAAACCUCUUUUUACUCAAACAAAAGCGGUUGGCAACCUUUCAUCAUAAUACUGCUUUUCAGUUCUCUAUUAUUUCUCUUAUUAGAAACUGUGUUUGACCUGUGUCAAAUUUGUUCCAAGAACGCACUAUUUCAUUUCAAUAUCAAACGGUGAAGAAUGGUUAGCAUAUUAAUUCGAUUCGAUUAAAGUGUUUCUUAUUGGCUGUUUAUUUUUGUACAUAUGUUUGAUACUAAGUUAGCAUGAUCUUAGAAAUCUGUACUGACAUUAUGAAAUUAAUGGAGCAUUCUAUCAUAUCAUUCAGCAAUAUCUUGGUAAUAA